rnacentral:rRNA from 1 species
GAAAGAUGGUUUCGGCUAUCGCUUACAGAUGGGCCCGCGGUGCAUUAGCUAGUUGGUAGGGUAAUGGCCUACCAAGGCAACGAUGCAUAGCCGACCUGAGAGGGUGAUCGGCCACACUGGGACUGAGACACGGCCCAGACUCCUACGGGAGGCAGCAGUAGGGAAUCUUCCGCAAUGGACGAAAGUCUGACGGAGCAACGCCGCGUGUAUGAAGAAGGUUUUCGGAUCGUAAAGUACUGUUGUUAGAGAAGAACAAGGAUAAGAGUAACUGCUUGUCCCUUGACGGUAUCUAACCAGAAAGCCACGGCUAACUACGUGCCAGCAGCCGCGGUAAUACGUAGGUGGCAAGCGUUGUCCGGAUUUAUUG